rnacentral:lncRNA from 1 species
UAAUUUGGCCGUGGGUAGGUAAUUGGCUGGAGCAGGGCGGCAGGGUGCGGCAGCCAAUCAGCGCGCGGCUUCUAUAGGGCUUGAGUUAUUAGACGCUGAUCUCAAAACAUCCUUCAUCAGACUCCAAGGAGAGGCCAACAGAUGAGGGAGCCAUUUUUCUGCAAUGGAAUUAAAUGGCCAAAGCACUAAACAGCCCUCAGCGAAGCCGCCUUUUUGCCAGCCCAACCCUGGAAAGUUUGCAGUCGUGGAAGGAGCAGAAAUACCACGAGUGUAACUUACAAAGAAGGUCUUGGCCGGAGACCGGAGCCAUGUCUGUGUUAUCCCCACUGUAGACAAUCCUUGCUUCCUCUGGACAUCUGGAGCAGGCCCAAUUUGACUGAGAGCCUUCCCCCACUAAGGUAGGUAAGAGCCCUUUCCCCAAGUUCAGAGAACUGUUGCCGGGCUUUGACCUGCAGCCUUCGAAGGGCGGCUUGGGAUCCCCAAACCUGCUGGGCUGGUUCUGCAGCCCCUCCCCCACGCUGAUGUGGCGGUUGUGUGUGUGAAAUGGGCGGCCUGCUGGGUCCAUCCAGCCCCGCCUGUCAGCUUCUGCUGUGGGGCGUUUAGGGCGGGCGAUUCUCAUGCCGAAUUUAGCAGCUUACUAGAGCAAGGACUACCAAGUAUUUCCCAGUGGUGUGGUUUAUGGUGGCUGGGAGGGCCCUGGAAACUUCUGAAGACGGUGACUGCUGCCAGGUUUCCCAGUGGUGCUUCAGACAUUGUUCCUGAACCCCAUUAGGGGGACCAGCUGAGCCCCCUUCUGAUGUCUGCCUUGCUGGAUAGACAAAGAAGCAAAAGAUGUGAAGUGGUAGCCAGCUUCCCGAGAGAAAAGAUUUCCUUGGCUUCUCCUUUUCCUGGAUCCGAGCUCUCAACAAGGCCAGGUGUCGGUAGCCUGGCUUCUAGAACGUGACACAAACGGAGGCUGGCCCUUCACCUGUCUGUAGUGAUCUUACAGAGUCAAUGAGGUCUGUGCUUAGUCUCUGAGCAGGGUCUCCCCAGCUGCACCGGCAUCAGAAGUCAGUGGUUGGACCCAUUAAACCCGACUGUGCCCAUUUCUCGAGUUUCCCUCUUAGGCAGUUACAUCUAAGAACUUGCUCUUCUUACAAGGUUCCAGGUAGCACCAAGUUUCUAGACUCUCUCUAGUAGGUGGCACCUGGGAUGUCACCCAGCUUGGUGGCUAGCAGUUGGCUUGCCCUCCUCCUAGGCAGGAAGCUUUGCUGCUGAAACUGGUGUGGCCCUUGAUCCCUGACCCCUGGCCCCCUAGUGUGUUUCUCGUUUUGUUACUUUGAUAAGCCAUUUGGCCUCAGGUGCCGCGGCUCCUGCUGGCUUCCCCUAUUUGGGCCUCAGCUUCCAGCCUCUAGUCUUCUCUUUUCUCCUCACCCCUACAGUGAGUGCUGACGUGUGAGUCGGGGAGCCUGGAAGGCUUCCCUGAGUUGUUGCUGGAGGCAGAUUGGUGCCUAAUCAGGGUGCUUCUAGUCUGGCAGCUGUAGGUUAGAUGUGGACCUAGCUAGUGACCUUGGACCAUUGCCUCUCUUCCCCCUCCCCGGGUUAAAAAGACCACAAUACCUGCUGGAAAAGGUUGGUGGGAGGAUUAAGUGAGAUUAAGAGGGCCAGACUCCUGCUCUGACCUCACAACCAGUUGGCCUCCAUUGUGAUAAGGAUUGUUGCUGGGAGUGGUUGCUGCCUGCGCCGGUGGGGGCUGGGCUGUCUCCAGGGCUCCUCCCCGCCAGCCCACUUCCUGAAGCACGUGCUGGAGCCUCCAGGCAAAGGAGAAAGAAAACUGGCUUUGCUUGGGAAGGCAGCCAGCCCUGUUUUUCUUCUAGUGUUUGAGUCCAGGCUGUUCCCGGGGCUCCGUAGGCUGUCCUGUGGUUGGGUCGGGAUUUAAGGGCCACCCACCAAUAGCCCCAAGAGAAGAAAUGUCUCACCCAAGGUUAUGAGGCCACCACGGAGCAGAGCCUGGACAGGGUUCCAGGUGUCUUGAUUUUCAGCCCAGAACCUGGGCCCGUGACACCCCCUUGCCCAGCUGUCUGGGUUAUUUUAGGCUCCCUCCCGUGCCAGCUGUCUGCCUUUAUCACUGCCAGAGAGAGCUGUCUGGUAUAGCAAGGCUCCACAAUGGUCCCGUGGCUCCCGCUGGUGCAGAGGGCCAGGCAUCAAGUCCGUCGAUGAGCUGGCUUUCUGCUGGGAAGGCUGAACUCCUCACCCCUAUUGAGAAGGGGGGCGGGGAGAAGAGCGCUUUGCUAGGUUGGUCUCGUUCAUACUUUAGAUACCUGGUAAGCCUUGGAACACAACUGAUCAACCCUAAAGGCUCUGGUUAGAGUCCUUGGAUCUGGCUGGGGUCUUUAUCUCCUCCAGCCUCCCACUAAUUGAUUUAAGUCGCGCUGUGUCAGCUGUACCCUGGAGGGCUACAGGCUUUAGGGAGCAAUUAGGCGCUAAGCUGUGACGUGGUGCUUGAAAGGGGAAGAUGGAAGUGACCGGGACCAACUUGUGGCUUGCUCUCUACUUCAGGUCUUUUCCACCUCUCUCUCUCUCUCUCCUUUCUUUGGCCCCUUAUCACCUCCUGGGCUGUAGGGUGGGGCAGUUUGUCCUGCUGUUGUUCCUGGCCCCGAGGGGUGCCCCGCCUCCUGGUCACCCACGGAGCGUGGGGCGGAGCCGCUCUGGCCUGCAGAGAGAGGGCCACGCCAGCAGAAGGCUUGCCUGAACUGGGAGGUGGCUGUACUCGAUUUACUACACGAGAUUCCAGUGUCCCCGCCCCUUCCGGCUCCUCCACCUGGCCCCGAGCCCAAGUUUGGAAUAUGACCUUUUUAGACUCUCUGCAACCGAGGUGGGUCGGAGGACCCGCCAUCCCCGCUCUCCACGGCCCCCAGUGUUUUCUCGGAUUGUUCCGUGCCAAUGGGAACCAGGAGGGAAAGUUGAACAAAAACCUUCAGAGCUAUUAAAUUGUCGCGUGAUGGAGGAGGGUCUUGCUGUGUCCGGGCUAGUCCUAGUGACAGGUUAGGACCCUAGGUAUAUCCCUUUGUACCAACGUUCGCUGGUUUUCCGCCUGGCUUCCAGAAAUCACUAAGCCCAUCCUCUGCUUGUUCCCUGGAGCUGUUAAGUAGCUGAGACUUGGAGCGGUCAGGCUGCCUAACCAGGUAGAUAAGAUAGCCUGGCUUCACCCCUCUGCUAGAGUCUUUAUCUCCCCCCUCUUAUCCGUUCCAUCUGCAUUUGGAUAGCUCAAUAAUUGAUUUAUGGGGCCUCUGAAUAGGGGAGUGGUGGCCUUAGCCUCCCCCACCCAAAUUUGUACUUUGUCCUUAAAGGCUGCAGUCUGUUCUCCUCUGCCCCCCUGGAUCUGAGCUUUAGUCUCUGCAGUGACCACCUGACAGCUCCCUGAGGGGGGUUUGAGGCAAGAACCCACAGAAGCAAUUUCUUGCUUUCCUCUGCUCUCUAGGAAUUCCUGGACAAUGGAGAGUGCCCCAGGCCCCCUGAACAUCUUGCUGAUGAGGGAGUAAAGCCACCCUGGGUGGGUGUGAGUGCGCGCGCGCGCGCCUAUCUCCUCAGCUGGCCCGGCCCGACCUCUGAGGAGGCUCUCACCAGCAGCUGGCUAGAUUCCUGGUUAUUUUUAGUUACAGAUCCAGCCCCACCAUCACCACCAGAGUUGAGUCCAAAUCCAACACUCUAGGCCGGGUAGUGCUGGGACUUUGCCAGCCUCCUGCUGAGGUAGGGCUGGGUGAGUAGGCAGGCUGGAACGGGUGGGGUGGCCGUGUGCUGUCUGAACCCUCCCCAGAGCUGGUCGCUUUUGGUCAUUUCCUCCCUGCAGACUUGCUCUUCCUCCACACAGGUCUGGGGGAGUUUGUGGGAAGCCAGGAGCCCUCUCUUGGUUAUAUGUAGUAGAACAAGUUUUUUUUCUUAGAAGUGAAUUCUCCCCUUGGCAAACUGCAGCCAGCCAGCCUCCUGGGUCGAGAGCCAAGCCAAAAGAUGUCUGAGAGAAGAAACCUGGGGUCCUGCAAAGGUAAGUGGGUCCCAGCCCACUCUCAAUCCCCCUCUCUCUGUGUGAUUGCUAUUCCACACUGGAGUCACCUGCUCUGUGCUUCUGAGGAACCUCACCUCUGGCACAUCAAUGGAAAUUGUCCUUCCCUUUUUAUUUAUUUUUAUUUAUUUUUUAUUUUUUGCCACCCUCACUGGCCACUAAGAGAUAGCCCUAGCUCCUCCUCUCCUGCCUGGUUUUGACAGGACUCACUCCAUUGAGUCCUGUCUCGUCUCUUUGCAGCCCUCCUCCUCCCCCCCCCCCCCCUUCAGCCAGCACUUAGGCCCUCCCUGAUUUAGCCCGUUACCUUGACAACCACUUGGGCCUGUCUCCCUCAUCACCACUGAAAACCUGAAGGUGGUUUUCCAGCUGCGGUACAUUUGCCCAAGUUGGGCACCCCUCCAGCUUCUAUUGGCUCGCCCUCUAUACAGCUGUACCCAAUAUAACAAACACAACCUUCCUGGCCCCUCAGCUGUAGUCUCGAAAUUGAUCUCACUGGUCCCGGGAACUCCGUCAAUACUGCCUCCUCUAGACUGAGCUCCUCACAGGCAGG